rnacentral:lncRNA from 1 species
GGGAUUUGGGAGGAGAUAUAAAUUUUUGAAAUUUUCACCUAAUAUACUGACGGGCCGAUUUGGGCCCGAAAGCCCGGCGGGCUUUUUGGCCCGCGGGCCUCAUGGGCCGGGCCAGGGAGGCCCGGAUUUUUUUGGGCCUUGAAAAUCCUAGCCCAGCCCGGCCAAAACUACGGGCGGGCCUAUCGGGCCGGGCCAUUCU